UUGAGCUAACCGAUACUAAUUGCCCGUGAGGCUUGACCAUAUAACACCCAAACAAUU
rnacentral:rRNA from 1 species